AUUUCUUUAGUAUACAAGUAUAAAUGCCUUCCAAGCAAAGGGCUCCCACGGGAAGACAUA
rnacentral:tRNA from 1 species